CCUACGGGUGGCAGCAGUGGGGAAUAUUGGACAAUGGGCGAAAGCCUGAUCCAGCCAUGCCGCGUGUGUGAAGAAGGCCUUCGGGUUGUAAAGCACUUUCAGUGGGGAAGAAAGCCUUGGGGCUAAUACCCUCGAGGAAGGACAUCACCCACAGAAGAAGCACCGGCUAACUCCGUGCCAGCAGCCGCGGUAAUACGGAGGGUGCGAGCGUUAAUCGGAAUUACUGGGCGUAAAGCGCGCGUAGGCGGUCUGAUAAGCCGGUUGUGAAAGCCCCGGGCUCAACCUGGGAACGGCAUCCGGAACGGUCAGGCUAGAGUGCAGGAGAGGAAGGGAGAAUUCCCGGUGUAGCGGUGAAAUGCGUAGAGAUCGGGAGGAAUACCAGUGGCGAAGGCGGCCUUCUGGACUGACACUGACGCUGAGGUGCGAAAGCGUGGGUAGCAAACAGGAUUAGAUACCCUAGUAGUC
rnacentral:rRNA from 1 species